rnacentral:rRNA from 1 species
CCUACGGGAGGCAGCAGUGAGGAAUAUUGGUCAAUGGGCGGGAGCCUGAACCAGCCAAGUCGCGUGAGGGAAGACGGUCCUACGGAUUGUAAACCUCUUUUAUAAAGGAAUAAAGUGAGGCACGUGUGCCUUUUUGUAUGUACUUUAUGAAUAAGGAUCGGCUAACUCCGUGCCAGCAGCCGCGGUAAUACGGAGGAUCCGAGCGUUAUCCGGAUUUAUUGGGUUUAAAGGGAGCGUAGAUGGGUUGUUAAGUCAGUUGUGAAAGUUUGCGGCUCAACCGUAAAAUUGCAAUUGAUACUGGCAGCCUUGAGUACAGUUGAGGUAGGCGGAAUUCGUGGUGUAGCGGUGAAAUGCUUAGAGAUCACGAAGAACUCCGAUUGCGAAGGCAGCCUACUAAACUGCCACUGACAUUGAUGCUCGAAAGUGUGGGUAUCAAACAGGAUUAGAUACCCGAGUAGUC